rnacentral:rRNA from 1 species
CCUACGGGAGGCAGCAGUGGGGAAUAUUGCACAAUGGGGGAAACCCUGAUGCAGCGACGCCGCGUGAGUGAGGAAGUAUUUCGGUAUGUAAAGCUCUAUCAGCAGGGAAGAAAAUGACGGUACUUGACUAAGAAGCCCCGGCUAAUAACGUGCUAGCAGCCGCGGUAAUACGUAGGGGGCAAGCGUUAUCCGGAUUUACUGGGUGUAAAGGGAGCGUAGGCGGUUAAUCAAGCCAGAAGUGAAAACCCAGGGCUUAACCAUGGGAUUGCUUUAGAAACUGAGUAGCUAGAGUGCAGGAGAGGUAAGCGGAAUUCCUAGUGUAGCGGUGAAAUGCGUAGAUAUUAGGAAGAACACCAGUGGCGAAGGCGGCUUACUGGACUGUAACUGACGUUGAGGCUCGAAAGCGUGGGGAGCGAACAGGAUUAGAUACCCGAGUAGUC